rnacentral:SRP_RNA from 1 species
UCGUGCUAGACGGGGAGCUAGCGGUGCCCUGUAACCCGAAAUCCGCUCAUGCGGGGUUGAACGUCCUUCGGAAAAACCAUGAAGCGAGUUGCUCUGCCGCUGUCCCGGAACGGGGAUGGACCUCACGUGACGAACCUCCGGGAACCCCGUCAGGUCCGGAAGGAAGCAGCGGUAACCGGGAAGGCCCGUGUCGUGACGGGAUCUAUCCCUUUCUUCCGGGCAGAGGGGACUUCCCGCUCAUGGUCUGACCGGGGAUGCACGG